CCAUGCGAGUCGAGAGGUGCAAGACCUCGGCAUACUGCUCAGUAACACGUGGACAACCUAACCUAUGGAGGGGGAUAACCCCGGGAAACUGGGGAUAAUACCCCAUAGACUAUAAAUGCUGGAAUGCUUUGUAGUUGAAAGGUCCGCCGCCAUAGGAUGGGUCUGCGGCCGAUUAGGUUGUUGUUGGGGUAACGGCCCAACAAGCCUGUAAUCGGUACGGGUUGUGGGAGCAAGAGCCCGGAGAUGGAUUCUGAGACACGGAUCCAGGCCCUACGGGGCGCAGCAGGCGCGAAAACUUUACAAUGCGGGAAACCGUGAUAAGGGAACUCCGAGUGCCCGUAAAAUCGGGCUGUCCAUCUGUGUAAAUAACAGGUGAAGAAAGGGCCGGGCAAGACCGGUGCCAGCCGCCGCGGUAAUACCGGCGGCUCGAGUGGUGGCCACUAUUACUGGGCUUAAAGCGUUCGUAGCUGGUCUGUUAAGUCUCUGGG
rnacentral:rRNA from 1 species